rnacentral:lncRNA from 1 species
CUAUUUUCCCAAUCCAACCUCAAACUUCACAACCUGACGCCAUCUUCAUCGGGAUGGAUCUCGUGCAAUCGCUCAUCCUCCGCCCCAGGAUCAACAUACUUGAUUGGAGGGUUUGGAGCCCAAUUACCCAAAUUUCUCCCAUUGCCGCUGCACCUAAUAUACUGCACAGAAGGUGUUGACUAAGAAUUUGCAGAACGGGAAAAUAUCAACUAACAAUCUAAAACAAACGACGAGCAAGACAAACAAAUUGAUACGAAUCAAGGGCAGAUUAAAUCCCGAAGGAUCAAACAUGCUCUGAUACCAAGUUGAAUAUCAGAGUACGCAACGAACAAGACUAACAAAAUAAGAAAUAUUAUUGAUAUCAAACAAGAAUGUCGAAAUGGCUACAAAACCCUAAAAUAUUACAUUGUGAAUGACUUGAUUCCUCAAACUAAAUUACAAGCUCUAUUUAUAGAGCAAUAAAUCUAAGAAACCCUAAUGCGUAAAUGCCAAAAAUACCCUACCACAAAAUCAAAACAAAUCUCUAAUUAAUUUCCUAAAUAAACCUAAUAAAUUCCAACAAAAUCUUCAAAUCAAUAUAUGCAGAGUCCUAAGGUGAUUAGUCAAAGAACUUUAAUCAUAAAGCAUUCAAUUGUUGUCAUGAGUAAGAAUUCGUCCAAUAAAACUUAGUAUCCAUCAAAUAGUCAUUGAAAAUCAUAGUUACUCAUAAUAAACAAAAAAAACAUAAUGGAAAAUCUCACAAACAAGAUGAAAACUAGAGAAUAGUAUGGACAAACAGUUUUAAGAUAAAAACAUUACUCUCAGACCGUCUUAAGAUAGGAUAUAAGUAAUGUGCACAUUCCCUUUUGGAUUUCGACUUCUUUUAAGUUGUGACUUAGAAAACCAACAGUGCAAUUUCGGCGUAAGCUUGGCUGGAUAACGACCUGUACGAAACCUUUCAUAACAUUUUCUAGAAAAUUUGAAAUCAUGAUCUGUAAAAUUUAUCUGAAAGCUAAUUUCCAUAUCUUUUUAAUGGUAUAAAACUUAACAGUUGGUUCCUUCGAGGAUGUACAAUUUAUUUCGUGCAAGUUGUCUGAUUUGGGCAGUCAGUUUCUACUUCCCAAAACUCGUUUCAAUCACAAAAUCCCUCCUUUUUCUUGUUUCUUUAUUUUUACUCUUCAAACCUAAGAAAAACACAAAGCUAAGUAAUAGGGAACUAAAUUCACUCAAAACAAAACAAGAAUCUAAAGAAAAUGACAUAAAAGUGUACGCAAUGUUAUAUCACAUAUGCUCAUACUUGAACCUAUGUAGGUCGGUCCAACACUGACUAUAACAAAUACAUAAAGCUCAAUUUGAUAUUUUGAUAACAGUGACUACAGCUUCUCAAAGGAUUUUGGAUUUGUGCAUGACCUUUGCAUUCAAAAGAUGAAGCCUACAGCAUCAAAAUGGUGAGAUAUAAAACAGAGUCAAAUACGAUUAGGGUAAACGCUGUGAUAUUUACUAGGGAUAGAGAUAGGACAAUAAAAUUAGAUUUUCAAUACAUUUAAAGCACAAUUUUAACCACUUUAUAUUAUGGUCUAGUGAUAUUACUCUCCACUUAUAAGUGAGAGGUUUU